rnacentral:rRNA from 1 species
AACGAACGCUGGCGGCAUGCCUAACACAUGCAAGUCGAACGAAGGCUUCGGCCUUAGUGGCGCACGGGUGCGUAACGCGUGGGGAUCUGCCCUUGGGUUCGGAAUAACAGUGAGAAAUUACUGCUAAUACCGGAUGAUGACUUCGGUCCAAAGAUUUAUCGCCCAAGGAUGAGCCCGCGUAAGAUUAGCUAGUUGGUGAGGUAAAGGCUCACCAAGGCGACGAUCUUUAGCUGGUCUGAGAGGAUGAUCAGCCACACUGGGACUGAGACACGGCCCAGACUCCUACGGGAGGCAGCAGUGGGGAAUAUUGGACAAUGGGCGAAAGCCUGAUCCAGCAAUGCCGCGUGAGGGAUGAAGGCCUUAGGGUUGUAAAGCUCUUUUACCAGGGAUGAUAAUGACAGUACCUGGAGAAUAAGCUCCGGCUAACUCCGUGACAGCCGCCGCAGUAAUAC